rnacentral:lncRNA from 1 species
UCUCUUAGAGUUGUGUCCUAGAUAGAGAGAAAAGAAAAGAGACAAGAUGGAAAAAAGAAAAAAAAAAUACAGAAAAAUGAGAAAAAAAAUGUGUGAAGAAUGGAGUCAAGAAGAGGAUUGAAUUAGAGGAUUUUGGGUGUGUUUGACUGUGUUUACACUUGUUCCCCAUUGCUCCUCUAUUUCUUUUGGUUUAUAGCUUCUCAUCCAUAUUUAUCCUCCCUUGUCC